rnacentral:tRNA from 1 species
GGUGGCUCAGUGGUAGAGCGUUUGCCUCGCAUGCACGAGGCCCUGGGUUCGAUUCCUCAGCACCA